rnacentral:rRNA from 1 species
UCCUACGGGAGGCAGCAGUGGGGAAUAUUGGACAAUGGGGGCAACCCUGAUCCAGCCAUGCCGCGUGUGUGAAGAAGGCCUUUUGGUUGUAAAGCACUUUAAGCAGGGAGGAGAGGCUAAUGGUUAAUACCCAUUAGAUAGACGUACUGCAGAAUAGACCCGAUUCCCCCC